UUUUCUUUUCUUAUUUAUUUAUUUUUUUUUGGGGGGGGGGGGAGGUGGUGUUCUUUUUCUUUAUAUUUACUGACAGAAAUUAUGGGAUUUGCUGUGUGAGAAAUUUUUAUUUUUUAUUUAUUGUUCUUUUUUCUUAUAUGUACCGACAGGAAUUCUGGGAUUUGCCGGGUGUAUGCUCAUUGUAACAGAUUACACGGAGUUGUCACGGGGAUGGUCCUUUGAUUUAUGUUUGGCAGCAUCAGUUUAUAUUUUGAUUGAGAUUAUCGCUGUCGUCACUGGGGUCAUUGUUAAUGCAGUAAGGUCAUCAAACCAAAAAUCCGGUAAAAGUCCGAAACAGUCCGAGGAGACGGAUAACGGCGGGAAUGUGUUCACGGGAAAUGUUCAGACUGACAACCAUUACAAAAGAAACACUCGGGCCGCUGAUGAUUACAAAAGAAAUGCUCAGAGUGACACUGACUCCAAAAGUAACAGCCUACUUAAAUCUGCUCAGGUGGCCAUCAUAGCAAGCACUGAGCUCUUCAAAAUACCCAAAUGGUGAAAUAAAAACUGGUACAUAUUUCUUGAAUAGUUGAGUGCAUUGACUUCCAGAACAACCGAAAGAAACGCUUUCAUUGGUUAAAAAGAUAAUUCGUCACAGAUGAACUUUGAGGCAGGCUUAUUAUAUGAAUGAUUAUCAGGGGAGGGGUUAUUGAUGUGAAUAAUAAUCGGGGGAGGAGUUAUUGAUGUGAAUAAUAAUCGGGGGAGGGGGGGGGGUGAUAGAGUGUUUGAUUAGACCCAGACUCCAUUCUGACAUUCACACUGCGCGGGACAAGGUUAAUCUAGUUAGCUUGGCCUCUAUAAGGUAAAUAUUGGGUGAUGUUACUCGGAACUUAAUCUAAGAAGCCGUUUGUCAGAUAUACAUGUACAAUACAAACCUCGCAAGGUUGGGUAGAGUACGGUGAUUGGUUAAAAUGUUUUACGUUGUAACUGUGUUACUUAAAUAAAAAAUCAAUAAAAAGGAUAAUAGAACAGAGCGAUA